rnacentral:rRNA from 1 species
AUUGAACGCUGGCGGCAGGCCUAACACAUGCAAGUCGAACGAGUGGCGGACGGGUGAGUAAUGUAUGGGAAACUGCCCGGUGGAGGGGGAUAACUACGGGAAAGGGUAGCUAAUACCGCAUACCAUCAGAUGGGCCCAGAUGGGAUUAGCUUGUUGGUGGGGUAACGGCUCACCAAGGCGACGAUCCGUAGCUGGUUUGUGAGGACGACCAGCCACACGGGAACUGAGACACGGUCCAGACUCCUACGGGAGGCAGCAGUGGGGAAUAUUGGACAAUGGGCGAAAGCCUGAGGCAGCCAUGCCGCGUGUAUGAUGAAGGCCUUCGGGUUGUAAAGUACUUUCGGCAGGGAAGCGGUACCCGCAGAAUAAGCACCGGCUAACUCCGUGCCAGCAGCCGCGGUAAUUC